rnacentral:ncRNA from 23 species
AGUCGCUGCAGCGACGGUGGGCAUACCAGGCUCAUCGUACGGCCGUCGAUACACCAAUCGACGGCCCUCUCCCCCGCGCAUACCUGGCUGCAGCGGCUGACUUUUUCUCCAGGGGCGGUC